GACGAACGCUGGCGGCGUGCUUAACACAUGCAAGUCGAACGGAAAGGCCCUGCUUUUGUGGGGUGCUCGAGUGGCGAACGGGUGAGUAACACGUGAGUAACCUGCCCUUGACUUUGGGAUAACUUCAGGAAACUGGGGCUAAUACCGGAUAGGAGCUCCUGCUGCAUGGUGGGGGUUGGAAAGUUUCGGCGGUUGGGGAUGGACUCGCGGCUUACCAGCUUGUUGGUGGGGUAGUGGCUUACCAAGGCUUUGACGGGUAGCCGGCCUGAGAGGGUGACCGGCCACAUUGGGACUGAGAUACGGCCCAGACUCCUACGGGAGGCAGCAGUGGGGAAUAUUGAACAAUGGGCGGAAGCCUGAUGCAGCAACGCCGCGUGCGGGAUGACGGCCUUCGGGUUGUAAACCGCUUUCGCCUGUGACGAAGCGUGAGUGACGGUAAUGGGUAAAGAAGCACCGGCUAACUACGUG
rnacentral:rRNA from 1 species